UCCCAAUCACAAUGCAACAGAAUUACAAUGAACAAUGGAAGAUCCUUUAGGAACAGAAAGAACAUUAUUUAACCAACAAACUUCACCCCAUAAUUCACCAUCCUUAUUCUUCUUCUUCUUCUUCUUCACAUCAAUCUCAGCACACCAAAUCUCCAUUUCUUUCCCCUUCCCAUUCAAAUUCCUUUGACACUCCCAAACCACAACCAAUUUCCCACCAACAUCAGCCAUUGUAGCCCCACACAGAAACCUUGGUAAACUCUUAUCCAAACCUUUCAACUCCUUCCACAACCCUUUCUUCACAUCAAAACCCUUAAUUUUCCCUAAAUAAUCAUAACAAUACAAAAUCCCAUCCACAACAGUUGCUCUCCCACGCCAACCUAUAUCAAGCUCCCUCCCAACGCUCUCCCACGCGCCGUUAUAAGGAUCAAACGAAACACCACCGCGAUCCGCCAUUGCGUAAACCUUGCCGUCUACGACGGCACUCGCGUGCAUCCAUUUCUCACGAAUUUCUGGUGGACUAGGAACACUUUCCCAGCGGUUGUUAACAGGAUCGAAAACCUCCGACCAAUUAGCUGAUCUGGAAAAAUUAUCCGGCACGCAACCACCGAUGACGUAGAUUUUCCCGUCGAUAACACCAGCAGCUGCGAAUUCACGCGCCACGCGCAUUGAAGGACCAGGGAGCCACCGGUGGAAUCGGCAAUCAAGGAUCCAUACAUGACGAGAGGGUACAUCGUUGACGGAACCACCGAUGAGAUAGAUUUUGUGGUGGAUGACAGCGUAGGCGGACCCGAUGGUAGGGGAGGGAAGAGGAGGGAGAGGGAGGAGACGGUGGUUAUUGUGGAGGGUGAAGAAUUGGAGAGAGGUGGAGCGUGUGCGGAGAGAGAGGUAGAGGAUGUGUUGGGUGGAAGGGAUGAGAGAGCGAGCGGUGAAGAAGAGCGAAGAAGAGAGGAGAGAAUGGAUUGGUUUGGAAACGAGGGUGAGGGUUGUGUGGUGAGAACGUGGGACCCGUGCAAGGCAGUUUAUGGCUACAUCGUCUGGGAGGGAUGGGAUCAGGUUCGAGUUUUGGUUCUUCGUCAUAGCUUUCAACCUUCUUCUUUGCCUUUACUUCUCAGACUCUGGGGAACGAUAACACAAUCACACAUUCUGCUAUGUUUUUUUUUUUUUAAAUAUAUAUGAAUAUAUAGUUAUUAAUACUUUUCUCGGUAAAUGAAGUAUCAAGUUGAUAUGGCCGAGUUGGUCUAAGGCGCCAGAUUAAGGUUCUGGUCCGAAAGGGCGUGGGUUCAAAUCCCACUGUCAACAUAUUUU
rnacentral:tRNA from 1 species